ACCACUCCAAAGCUCUGUGGCUUAAAACAAUGAUUUAUUAUUUCUCAUGAUUCUGUGGGUUGGCUGUACAGAAUCAAGGUCCAGACCAUUCCUCUGUUGGUCUCAUCUGGACUUUCUCAGGCAACUGCAUGUGUGGAAAGUUCAAGAUGGCCUCAUUCACCUGUCUGGCCAUUGGCUCAGGGUCUCAGUUCUUAUCCAUGUGGUCUCUCAUCCUCCAGUAGGAUAGACUGACUUCCUUAGAUGGUAGACAAUGUUCCAAGAGAGCGAUGGUGGAAACUGUAAGCUCUCUUGAGGCCUAAACUCCAGAACUUAUGCAACAUCACUUCUGUUCUAUUCCUUUAUUCAAAGCAAGUCACAAAGUCAGUCCAGGUCAAAGGAAUGAAUAAAUAGGCUCCACCUCAUAAUGGGAGAGUUGCAAAGAAUGUGUGGCCAUAUUUAAUCCACCACAAUGUGGUAGAUAGCUGGAUUAUGUUAGAUGGGAACAUCUUUGGAAUUAGUAUAUAUACAGGAAGCAGGGUGUGUAUGCCAGGCAGGUGGGACAGACUGUUCUAGGCAUGUGCCCACUGAGGAGCCUACAGUUGGGGUGUGACUUCCAUGGUGGGUCCUCUGAGCUGAGGACCCUAUGACAAGGUAUACAUUAGACCUCUGGUUCACAGGGGCAACUUGGAGCUGAAGACCUACCAUAGCUGAGUGACUUCAUGCCUCUUAGCCUCAGUUCAUCCUCUGUAAAAUGGGCAUGCUGAUCCCUGCCUCACAGAUUGACUGUGAAACUGAAGAUGAGAUGAUCACCACUAAUGUGCCUUGUAAAUGACAGAGUGUCAUCUACAUGUGACUGUGUAUUAUUAUCUGAGAUCUGAGGAAGAAGUACUCAAGAUGGGCCUGGGUAGUUGCAGAGGGCAGGAAGGAGGACACUGAGACAGGGAUUUGAAGAAGGACAUUCACACUGGUGAGGGAGAAGGGCCGUAUUUCAAGAUGGGAAGCUGGAGAAUAAAAUUAUAAAGGCACAGAGGUAGAACAAUGACAGAGGGUACCCAGGAGAGGGAGGAGAGCAACUUGGUCAGAGGGUGAGCCCCCUCUACCACCCUGGACUCUGGGUUUCUGUGUUCCCAGGCAGUGGGGCAGCAGCCACUGAUGGUCACUCAGAACUACAGCCAAGGCUUCCAUUCUUCAAGGUUUAUCAGCUGCUUAUCCCCCCACAGGCCUCCAAGGCCUCCUCCAGCCACAGGGGUUGACGACAGAGGUGGUGGGCAGGUGGUCAGAGAGUCAGAUAGAGCACCCUCCUCCUGAGCCACCAGGAUCAGGUCAGACCCCUCCCAGUGUUCCCAAGCUCCUUUCCCCACUGCAGGGUGCAGGGUGUGGACCCCUGGCUAUAGGCUUGGGUUACAGGUGGCCUAGC
rnacentral:lncRNA from 1 species